UACGGAGGGAGCUAGCGUUGUUCGGAAUUACUGGGCGUAAAGCGCACGUAGGCGGCUUUGCAAGUUAGAGGUGAAGGCCCGGGGCUCAACUCCGGAAUUGCCUUUAAAACUGCAUCGCUAGAAUUGUGGAGAGGUAAGUGGAAUUCCGAGUGUAGAGGUGAAAUUCGUAGAUAUUCGGAAGAACACCAGUGGCGAAGGCGACUUACUGGACACAUAUUGACGCUGAGGUGCGAAAGCGUGGGGAGCAAACAGG
rnacentral:rRNA from 1 species